rnacentral:rRNA from 1 species
UAGGGAAUCUUCCGCAAUGGGCGAAAGCUUGACGGAGCAACGCCGCGUGAGUGAUGAAGGUCUUCGGAUCGUAAAACUCUGUUAUUAGGGAAGAACAAAUGUGUAAGUAACUAUGCACGUCUUGACGGUACCUAAUCAGCAAGCCACGGCUAACUACGUGCCAGCAGCCGCGGUAAUACGUAGGUGGCAAGCGUUAUCCGGAAUUAUUGGGCGUAAAGCGCGCGUAGGCGGUUUUUUAAGUCUGAUGUGAAAGCCCACGGCUCAACCGUGGAGGGUGAUUGGAAACUGGAAAACUUGAGUGCAGAAGAGGAAAGUGGAAUUCCAUGUGUAGCGGUGAAAUGCGCAGAGAUAUGGGGGAACACCAGUGGCGAAGGCGACUGUCUGGACUGUAACUGACGCUGAUGUGCGAAAGCGUGGGGAUCAAACAGG